UACGGAGGGUGCAAGCGUUAUCCGGAUUCACUGGGUUUAAAGGGUGCGUAGGCGGGUUGAUAAGUCAGUGGUGAAAUCCCCGAGCUUAACUUAGGAACUGCCAUUGAUACUAUUGAUCUUGAAUACCGUGGAGGUCAGCGGAAUAUGUCAUGUAGCGGUGAAAUGCUUAGAUAUGACAUAGAACACCAAUUGCGAAGGCAGCUGGCUACGCGAAUAUUGACACUGAUGCACGAAAGCGUGGGGAUCAAACAGG
rnacentral:rRNA from 1 species